rnacentral:rRNA from 1 species
GACGAACGCUGGCGGCGUGCUUAACACAUGCAAGUCGAGCGAAGCGCCUCCUUGGGGGGGGCGUCCUCGCGGCGAACGGGUGAGUAACACGUGGGUAACCUGCCCUCCGAUCUGGGAUAACUCCGGGCAACAGGGGCUAAUACAUGAUACGACAUCUACUGGCACCUGCGGUGGUGGAAUGAUUUGCGGCUGUGGUUGGGCUUGCGGCCUAUCAGCUAGUUGGUGGGGUAGUGGCCCACCAAGGCGACGACGGGUAGCCGGCCUGAGAGGGCGACCGGCCACACGGGGACUGAGACACGGCCCAGACUCCUACGGGAGGCAGCAGUGGGGAAUAUUGCGCAAGGGGCGAAAGCCUGACGCAGCGACGCCGCGGGAGGGACGAAGGCCUUCGGGUUGUAAACCUCUUUCAGCAGGGACGAAGCGAAAGUGACGGUACCUGCAGAAGAAGCACCGGCCAACUACGUG